rnacentral:rRNA from 1 species
GAUGAACGCUGGCGGCGUGCCUAAUACAUGCAAGUCGAGCGAACGGAUAAGGAGCUUGCUCCUUUGAAGUUAGCGGCGGACGGGUGAGUAACACGUAGGUAACCUACCUAUAAGACUGGAAUAACUUCGGGAAACCGGAGCUAAUGCCGGAUAACAUUUGGAACUGCAUGGUUCUAAAGUAAAAGAUGGUUUUGCUAUCACUUAUAGAUGGACCCGCGCCGUAUUGGCUAGUUGGUAAGGUAACGGCUUACCAAGGCAACGAUACGUAGCCGACCUGAGAGGGUGAUCGGCCACACGGGAACUGAGACACGGUCCAGACUCCUACGGGAGGCAGCAGGAGGGAAUCUUCCGCAAUGGACGAAAGUCUGACGGAGCAACGCCGCGUGAGUGAUGAAGGUUUUCGGAUCGUAAAACUCUGUUAUUAGGGAAGAACAAAUGUGUAAGUAACUGUGCACAUCUUGACGGUACCUAAUCAGAAAGCCACGGCUAACUACGUGCCAGCCGCCGCCGGUAA